rnacentral:rRNA from 1 species
CCUACGGGUGGCAGCAGUGGGGGAUAUUGGACAAUGGGGGAAACCCUGAUGCAGCAAAGCCGCGUGUGGGAAGAAGGUUUUCGGAUUGUAAACCACUGUUCGGGGGGAAGAUAAUGACGGUAACUGAGGAGAAAGCUCCGGCCAACUACGUGCCAGCAGCAGCUGAAAUACGUAGGGAGCACGCGUUGACCGGAUUUACUGGGGGUAAAGGGUGCCUAGGUGGUAUUGCAAGGCAGCCGGGAAAAGCACAGGGUCAACCUGGGGACGUCCGUUGAAACUGGGGGGCUUGAGUGAAGGAGAGGUAGGCGGAAUGCCCGGUGUAGCGGUGAAAUGCGUAGAGAUCGGGAGGAACACCAGUGGCGAAGGCGGCCUACUGGGCUUUAACUGACGCUGAGGCACGAAAGCAUGGGUAGCGAACAGGAUUAGAUACCCGUGUAGUC